AAGGNGCGAAAACUAAAAUAUCUAAGUACUAAGGCUUAAAGUAACUAACUAAAAAGCUAAAACUUAAAGAACAUGGCGGCGGAAAUAAAGUUUAGGGGAACUUACCAGGUAAUUGACAACCCUCAAAAAAAAUCACCUUUAUUUAAAGUUUGUAUACCGCCGUCUUGGGCCCUCUUAAGGAGGGCCCGAAAUGAAUUAAUCAAUAAGACAGGUCAUGGUGCAGCCCAUAUAAAGGACUGUAAGGUGAGUUACAAUAAUAAUUUAUUUCGGAAUGAAAAUGUAAUAAUAAAAGGAAGAUGGACUUAACAGUAAUUACUAAAGAAAUAUGUUUUGAAACAUAAAAAUUUUCGUGC
rnacentral:rRNA from 1 species